ensembl:lncRNA
GGAUUGUUAUGGAGAAUAUAGAAUUGUUCAAGUAGGUUCAACUGUUCAACACAUAAAAUCACCAUGUGCACAGUCUAACGAACAAUUCAUGGUAAUAACUGAGAAAACCUAGGAUUAUUCUCAUGCAGAAUUUACAGGGAGGGGAUGAUUUUCACAGGUGCAUGUGAGUCAGGGAUGGCUUUGUGCAAGAAGUGUUUUUGACUGCUGGGAAUUGUCACUCACUUCUCAUCUGCUGCUCUCAUUCUUAGUGGCUGCUCGUUCACAGCAAUUCCAGGUUGUGUAAAGACUGUUUCAGAUAAGAUGCUAAAUAUAAAGGUACAAAUGAAAUAAUGGCGAGCAAUAACUCACCCAUGACCUGGACACAGGGAACAUAGCAGUUCUGUCUUUUCCGGCAUGCUCAGCCCUGGCAUAGCUUUAAUCUCUCAUUUGAGUUUACCAUGGGCUCUCUUUUUAGGUCAAAUUUCUCCUUUUUUACUAGCUAUCCACAAUGUCUCUAAUAUUUCUAGCUCUGUAUCAAGACAGACAUGAGCCAGAAUUCUGAUUCUGUUACUUUUUUUCUAUGACCAGACAUGUACAUUACAAAUUGUAUUUUGGCAACAGCAGGCAGAAGACAACAGGGGAGGCAGAGAUCUGGAGAGAGAAAGAACAAUUUUGAGAUCAUUACCAAACCCUAGAUAAGAACUUAAGAAGACUUAACGUAGACAUGAAGAGUAAAGUGGAGAUUGACCCAAUAAAUAUUGAUGAGGAGCCUACCUACGUUUGGUGAACACUUAGAUGUGAAGUGAGCCCAGUGAGGGUGUAGGAGCUCCACAGGCAUCAGGAACCUCCAUGCUUGCGACGUGCAGGCUGGGAGCUGGGAGCAUACAGCUUCCACUUUGCAGUCCAAGGGGGUAAGAAUUGUUCCAUCUCUGCCACCGUGUGUGUGUGUGUGUGUGUGUGUGUGUGAGUUUGGGGACAACAAUGUCUGGGCCAACAGCCCUACACCCUACCCUCAUAUCAACUUGAAUCACACUUUUGGAGGAAGCUGUAAGAGAAGCCAAGUGUUUAGGGUGCAUUACAACUACCCAGUGAGAAAGAUGAUUCUCAAACCAAAUGGUGCUUAAAUUCUCUUUGAUUUCAGCUGUAAUGUUAUUUUCUGUAAGUUGGGGUAGAAAUGGAAAGAUCUGGGAAGAAGUACAGAACUGGCAGCGCAUUACUGUAAACUGGAAGUGCUCCUAAAACAGUUAUAAGUAAUAUUGUUUCAAUCAUUAAAUUACCAUUGAAGAUAUAAUCACUUAUAUAUCUUAAUUUUUUUGAUAUAUGCUUUCUAUCAUUUCACAGUUCUUAUGCUGCCCUCAUUAUCAUUUGAAAAUGCAAUUUUCAAACUCAUAAUUAGUAUACUACAUAUUCCACAAGUAAAAUUAUAAUCUGCCAAUUUUCUAUUUGCAAAAAUCAAUUUCAUACCUAUUGAAACACCGGAAUAAACCAAGACCUCUUAUCUGUAGCUGUAUCCUGUUGUAUAUCCUAAGAUUGAGUGCUACUCUUCUAGAAUUUUAUGGCUUUGUUGUUUUUUGAAAAACAAAUCAAAUUUAGUGCUUUGAGCCAUUUCCUGUAUGAGGGAUUAUGAAGUGUGAAAAAGAAAAUAGGUUUAGUGAAUCUCUACCGUGAGAACCCAGCACACUUGGGGAAGUAGCUGAGACACAUAAGCUUAGAUAUUUCAAGGUAGAUGUAUUUGGAAAUUAUAGGGAAGUUUUAAGUCUUAGCUGGCAGAGAUAAUAACCAGACAGGUCUCUUGUAACAUUUUUUUCUGGGAGAUAAGAAUGUUAAUGAGGUCAGAGAACAGUUCAACAAUGGCAUAAUAAGUCAUGCAGAUUUUACAGCGAAGCAAAGAUGAAAAGGAGUGGGAGAAAGGAAAUAAGAUGUUAACCUCUAGGUUUGAAAGGACUUCACCAUUACUCACACUGGGGUUACCCAUUUUAGCGUAAAUAGCAGGACCAAUAGCACUAGAUUCUGCAGCUUAUAUUCUAUCAGUACUGGUAUUAAAUUACCGCAUUUUAAACGU